rnacentral:lncRNA from 1 species
GUACGGAGUCAGCUGCGAUCCCACAACCGGCCGAGUCGUCGACAUUAAUCUCCGAGGCGAAUCGGAGGACCCCAUACUCAAGAAAUCCGGUCAGUCCGGGUUCAUGUCAGGAUCUAUCUCGCCCAAAAUUUGCAGCCUCGACCGCCUCACUACCCUCGUUCUCGCUGACUGGAAGGGGGUCACCGGUGAGAUCCCCCAAUGCCUCACCACCCUCUCCAACCUCCGAGUUCUCGAUCUCGUCGGAAACAAGAUUUCGGGCAAGAUUCCGGCCGAUAUCGGCAAC